GACGAACGCUGGCGGCGUGCUUAACACAUGCAAGUCGAACGGAAAGGCCCUGCUUUUGUGGGGUGCUCGAGUGGCGAACGGGUGAGUAACACGUGAGUAACCUGCCCUUGACUUUGGGAUAACUUCAGGAAACUGGGGCUAAUACCGGAUAGGAGCCCCUGCUGCAUGGUGGGGGUUGGAAAGUUUCGGCGGUUGGGGAUGGACUCGCGGCUUAUCAGCUUGUUGGUGGGGUAGUGGCUUACCAAGGCUUUGACGGGUAGCCGGCCUGAGAGGGUGACCGGCCACAUUGGGACUGAGAUACGGCCCAGACUCCUACGGGAGGCAGCAGUGGGGAAUAUUGCACAAUGGGCGGAAGCCUGAUGCAACAACGCCGCGUGCGGGAUGACGGCCUUCGGGUUGUAAACCGCUUUCGCCUGUGACGAAGCGUGAGUGACGGUAAUGGGUAAAGAAGCACCGGCUAACUACGUG
rnacentral:rRNA from 1 species